AUUGAACGCUGGCGGCAUGCCUAACACAUGCAAGUCGAACGGGUGAAGGUAUCUUGCUCCUGGGUUCGGCGGCUGACGGGUGAGUAAUUCCUAUGAGGCUGCCUAGUAGUGGUGGAUAACGUCCCUAAACGGGCGCUAAUAGCGCAUACGACCUGGGGGAGCGAGUGAGGGGUCGUUCGACCCCACGCUGCCAGAUGAUCCUAGGUCGGAUUAGCUAGUUGGUGGGGUAAAGGCCUACCAAGGCGACGAUCCGUAACUGGUCUGAGAGGAUGAUCAGUCACACUGGAACUGAGACACGGUCCAGACUCCUACGGGAGGCAGCAGUGGGGAAUAUUGGACAAUGGGCGAAAGCCUGAUCCAGCCAUGCCGCGUGUGUGAAGAAGGUCUUCGGAUUGUAAAGCACUUUAAGUUGGGAGGAAGGGCAGUAAGUUAAUACCUUGCUGUUUUGACGUUACCAACAGAAUAAGCACCGGCUAACUUCGUG
rnacentral:rRNA from 1 species